UGAGCUGUGAGGCGUCGGGGAAAGGCAGAACAGGCAAAGACCUCAGAGUUCAAGACUUCCAAAACCUUACAAUGCUGCCACCUACAGGCCAAAACUUUCAAGGCGGAUUCUAUCGAUACUGUUUUCUGACCCUUAACAAUGAAAAACAUGCAAAAUGGUGAUGGAAGACCACAGCCCCACACUCAGAAUCCCACAAAGAGUUAAAUUGCCAGGCUAUCCAGUCUGCUUACCUGUAUGUCAAGAAAAACUCUGCUAAGAACUUGAUGAGGGAAGAAAACUUCUGGAGGAGUCUACUUUUAUAAUAUGAUGAAAGUGAAGCUUUGAAAGAAAAAUAAAACACCUUUUCCAUGUCACCAUGAGCUAAGCACUGGGUAUUCAAAGACAGAUGGAAGGCAGCCUAUUUUCUAAAGAAACCAACACUUUCCUAAAGAAACUAUUAAAACUUUCUAUCAUUGUAUAAACCAAGGGGGUGUCAAAUAAAUCAAAUAAAAUUUGAU
rnacentral:lncRNA from 1 species